AGAGUUUGAUCCUGGCUCAGGAUGAACGCUGGCGGCGUGCCUAAUACAUGCAAGUCGAGCGAACAGACGAGGAGCUUGCUCCUUUGACGUUAGCGGCGGACGGGUGAGUAACACGUGGAUAACCUACCUAUAAGACUGGGAUAACUUCGGGAAACCGGAGCUAAUACCGGAUAACAUGUUGAACCGCAUGGUUCAACAGUGAAAGACGGUCUUGCUGUCACUUAUAGAUGGAUCCGCGCCGCAUUAGCUAGUUGGUAAGGUAACGGCUUACCAAGGCAACGAUGCGUAGCCGACCUGAGAGGGUGAUCGGCCACACUGGAACUGAGACACGGUCCAGACUCCUACGGGAGGCAGCAGUAGGGAAUCUUCCGCAAUGGGCGAAAGCCUGACGGAGCAACGCCGCGUGAGUGAAGAAGGUCUUCGGAUCGUAAAACUCUGUUAUUAGGGAAGAACAAAUGUGUAAGUAACUAUGCACGUCUUGACGGUACCUAAUCAGAAAGCCACGGCUAACUACGUGCCAGCAGCCGCGGUAAUACGUAGGUGGCAAGCGUUAUCCGGAAUUAUUGGGCGUAAAGCGCGCGUAGGCGGUUUUUUAAGUCUGAUGUGAAAGCCCACGGCUCAACCGUGGAGGGUCAUUGGAAACUGGAAAACUUGAGUGCAGAAGAGGAAAGUGGAAUUCCAUGUGUAGCGGUGAAAUGCGCAGAGAUAUGGAGGAACACCAGUGGCGAAAGCGACUUUCUGGUCUGUAACUGACGCUGAUGUGCGAAAGCGUGGGGAUCAAACAGGAUUAGAUACCCUGGUAGUCCACGCCGUAAACGAUGAGUGCUAAGUGUUAGGGGGUUUCCGCCCCUUAGUGCUGCAGCUAACGCAUUAAGCACUCCGCCUGGGGAGUACGACCGCAAGGUUGAAACUCAAAGGAAUUGACGGGGACCCGCACAAGCGGUGGAGCAUGUGGUUUAAUUCGAAGCAACGCGAAGAACCUUACCAAAUCUUGACAUCCUCUGACCCCUCUAGAGAUAGAGUUUUCCCCUUCGGGGGACAGAGUGACAGGUGGUGCAUGGUUGUCGUCAGCUCGUGUCGUGAGAUGUUGGGUUAAGUCCCGCAACGAGCGCAACCCUUAAGCUUAGUUGCCAUCAUUAAGUUGGGCACUCUAAGUUGACUGCCGGUGACAAACCGGAGGAAGGUGGGGAUGACGUCAAAUCAUCAUGCCCCUUAUGAUUUGGGCUACACACGUGCUACAAUGGACAAUACAAAGGGUAGCGAAACCGCGAGGUCAAGCAAAUCCCAUAAAGUUGUUCUCAGUUCGGAUUGUAGUCUGCAACUCGACUACAUGAAGCUGGAAUCGCUAGUAAUCGUAGAUCAGCAUGCUACGGUGAAUACGUUCCCGGGUCUUGUACACACCGCCCGUCACACCACGAGAGUUUGUAACACCCGAAGCCGGUGGAGUAACCUUUUGGGGCUAGCCGUCGAAGGUGGGACAAAUGAUUGGGGUGAAGUCGUAACAAGGUAACC
rnacentral:rRNA from 1 species